rnacentral:rRNA from 1 species
CCCAGCGAGAAGGGAGCUUGCUCCUGGAUUCAGCGGCGGACGGGUGAGUAAUGCCUAGGAAUCUGCCUGGUAGUGGGGGAUAACGUCCGGAAACGGGCGCUAAUACCGCAUACGUCCUGAGGGAGAAAGUGGGGGAUCUUCGGACCUCACGCUAUCAGAUGAGCCUAGGUCGGAUUAGCUAGUUGGUGGGGUAAAGGCCUACCAAGGCGACGAUCCGUAACUGGUCUGAGAGGAUGAUCAGUCACACUGGAACUGAGACACGGUCCAGACUCCUACGGGAGGCAGCAGUGGGGAAUAUUGGACAAUGGGCGAAAGCCUGAUCCAGCCAUGCCGCGUGUGUGAAGAAGGUCUU